CGUAGCAGCCAUAUCACCCUGCAACUCACAACUGGCAACCCACUGAAGCUAAGCAGGUGUGAGCCUGGUCAGUACCUGGAUGGGAGACCUCCUGGGAAAAACUAAGGUUGCUGCUGGAA
ensembl:rRNA 5S_rRNA 5S ribosomal RNA